AGCGAACGCUGGCGGCAGGCUUAACACAUGCAAGUCGAGCGGGCAUCUUCGGAUGUCAGCGGCAGACGGGUGAGUAACACGUGGGAACGUACCCUUCGGUUCGGAACAACUCUGGGAAACUGGAGCUAAUACCGGAUACGCCCUUAUGGGGAAAGGUUUACUGCCGAAGGAUCGGCCCGCGUCUGAUUAGCUAGUUGGUGGUGUAACGGCCUACCAAGGCGACGAUCAGUAGCUGGUCUGAGAGGAUGAUCAGCCACACUGGGACUGAGACACGGCCCAGACUCCUACGGGAGGCAGGAGUGGGGAAUAGUGGAAAAUGGGCGCAAGCAUGAUCCAGCCAGGCCGCGUGAGUGAUGAAGGCCUUAGGGUUGUAAAGCUCUUUUGUCCGGGACGAUAAUGACGGUACCGGAAGAAUAAGCCCCGGCUAACUUCGUG
rnacentral:rRNA from 1 species